AAUGGCUUUAGCUUCUGCGUGUGGGAAUUUCUCUGUCUCUCUCUCUCUUUCAUAUAUGCAAGCAGACCCGGAUGUCCCACAUUUCCUUUCUGGAAAGGGAUUCACGCGGACGUAGAAAGUUUUGCCCACAGGUACGGCAACAGCCUGGAUCAUAAUAAUUCCUCAUUGAUAAAGAUCAACUUGUACAAUCUGCCCUGAACUGUCAGGAAUAUUUAGCAUCUACAAGACUGUUACAAACAACUUUGCCUUUGAAGGGUGAUAGGGAGAAUCCCAAGAUCAAUGAUGUCAUUGUACUCUCUACGUGACAGCUGGGGGCUAACUAAGGGAGGUGACAUGACCAGCCACCUCACAGCAAAUUCUUGGGAAGGAUUGGGAGCUAAAUCUACGAUAUGUACGUCUAUCAGGGAACUAUCUCCUUUCACUGAUUAAUGGGGCACAAGCAUCGGUGAGACUUAUAAUCUAAUCAGUUUUAACAACACACAAGAAGAAAAUAAUAGCACCAACAGGCUCAGUAAGAGGACAGACCUUUACAAACACCUCUCUGUUGAUUUUCUCAUGCUGCAAUAGUUAUGUGAAUUGCUAAGGGAAUAAUAACAACUAAUAUUAAUUGA